rnacentral:ncRNA from 1 species
AUCAGGCCCCGCGCGACAUCGCCCAGGGGUCAGGCUGGCGCCGCCUUGCGUGCGAAUCCGGUCUGGCGUCCGUCGAUAACCUGACGCCACG